rnacentral:lncRNA from 1 species
AUGUGGCUGCAGGCAGUGGGUAUGGGGGGCUCGUGGGUUUUUUCACAAGUACACAGGGUCAGCUGCCGGGAGGGGGGACAAGGGGCCUCGUCCUGUGGACCCUUGACACCACCUCCUGGGGCCGGCACCAUGGGCUCCAUUUUACAGAGGAAACUGCAAGGUGCCGCCACCGGAAUGAUCCAGCCUAGCCAGCAUCCUGCCCCUGCCCUGCGGCCCCCACUGCAGGCCCCAGCUGCCCUCUGGUGGGCACAGGUGGGCCAGGAUAUGAGUAGGGUACUUUCCCAGGAUGCGGGUGUCAGGGCCCCACUGGGUCAGGGGCUGCUUGUCCUCGAUCCAGGCCUAGAUGCCUCUGCAGUCAGAGCCCCUGGUGCUGGACACCCUGAGGACAGGGCCAGGAAAGGUGGCCUCCAGGAGUCCAUGCUGCCCACCCUGAAGCCAGCCUCCCAGUGUCCCAGGGAGCUCAGAGGCUGACCCAGGUCAGGAUCCCUCACUCCAUCCUGUAUCUGUGGCUUGCUUGGGAGCUGCCAUGGCCCCUCUCCAGUGAACCAAGGGCCCCAGGAGUGCAGACACCCUACCCUGCAUCUCAGGACCCACCUCAGGCCUAGGUGGAUGGGGCACCAUGAAAGACCCCUGGGCAGGGAAGGAUGGAGGUCAGUGAGAAGAAGCACAGUCGCCCCGACACAGGGAGCAUCUCGGGUAGGUGUGUGCCUUUGGGUCUGCAGGACGUGGGGCCCCCUUCCCUGCCUCCCUGUCCCCCUUACACAGAGUGAUUCAGGGGAACGAGUGAGCUGCAGGGGGGCCGCCAGCCAAGGCACAGGGUGCUCCCCGCUGGAAGCCCUCUCCUGGGGCCCAGAGACUGCCAGCCCUCUGGAAGGUGAGAGGAGUGCCCGGAGGAGCAGGGAGGGUAGGGGGUGAGGGUGCCUGGGGGAAGCAGGGCCCCGCAUGCUGAGCUCCACGCUGUGAUGGGCUCCCGUUGCAGCACCGUCCUGAGAAGGACCAGACUUUGUGCCACAGGGAGCAGCCUCAGUAGAGCUCUGGCCACCAGCCUGUCCAUUGUCUACACCCUCCAUGUAGAGCAGAUGGAGGAUGAGGAUUGAGGAUGGAGGAUUUUUUUUUUUUUUUUUUUUUUUUUUUUUUUUUUUUUUUUUUUUUUUUUUUUUUUUUUUUAUUUAUGAUAGUCACAGAGAGAGAGAGAGAGAGAGAGAGAGAAGCAGAGACACAGGCAGAGGGAGAAGCAGGCUCCAUGCACUGGGAGCCUGAUGUGGGAUUCGAUCCCGGGUCUCCAGGAUCGCGCCCUGGGCCAAAGGCAGGCGCCAAACCACUGCGCCACCCAGGGAUCCCGAGGAUGGAGGAUUGAGGAGGGGUCCGGCCUCUGAGCAAAUGGCCCCUUGCGCCUGUGACCCUGGCCCUUCUGUUUUCCUUCCCUCCUCCUCCCUGCCUCCCCCUGACUUUCCCACAAGCAUUUUCAGGCAUAAAAAUACCUACUUUGGGAAUGACAUCGGGCUCCUCGUGCCCUGGGCGCCCCCAACCACGCGGGCCCAGCACAGGGGCUCCUGGCAGUGGUCCCUGGAGACUGUCUCUCUA